rnacentral:rRNA from 1 species
AGAGUUUGAUCCUGGCUCAGGACGAACGCUGGCGGCGUGCCUAAUACAUGCAAGUAGAACGCACAGGAUGCACCGUAGUUUACUACACCGUAUUCUGUGAGUUGCGAACGGGUGAGUAACGCGUAGGUAACCUGCCUGGUAGCGGGGGAUAACUAUUGGAAACGAUAGCUAAUACCGCAUAAGAACAUUUACUGCAUGGUAGAUGUUUAAAAGGUGCAAAUGCAUCACUACCAGAUGGACCUGCGUUGUAUUAGCUAGUAGGUGAGGUAACGGCUCACCUAGGCGACGAUACAUAGCCGACCUGAGAGGGUGAUCGGCCACACUGGGACUGAGACACGGCCCAGACUCCUACGGGAGGCAGCAGUGGGGAAUCUUCCGCAAUGGACGAAAGUCUGACGGAGCAACGCCGCGUGAGUGAUGACGGCCUUCGGGUUGUAAAGCUCUGUUAAUCGGGACGAAAGGCCUUCUUGCGAAUAGUGAGAAGGAUUGACGGUACCGGAAUAGAAAGCCACGGCUAACUACGUGCCAGCAGCCGCGGU